GUCUAUGUCCAUGUCUACAUCUAUGUUUAAAUCUUCAUCUAUGUCUAUAUUGAUGUCUCUGUCUAUGUCUCAAUAUAGAUCUUUCCAACUCUGGUGUCUAUCACCUGUCUGGCAGUAGGUAGAUAUGCUUCAUCACAGAUUCCUAGGACACAUUGACAUUGGGAUAUGCUAAGAAAAUAAAGGUGAGGAAUACUUAUGCUAAAGAGACUCUAACAUCAAGGCUGUGAUCAACCCCAUCUGCAAUAGAGGUGGGAGGCUUGACUCACACCUAUAACUGGUUAGUUUUGGUGCAAUGUUAAGAUAAAAUGGCAUGCUUCGAGAUUAGUCUAUACUUAAUAAAAGGAGGGUUAAGGAACCAUAACACAGAAAGGGUAUUCACUCCAUACACUAAAUCACUUAGCCUACUUAGGCUGAAGAACAAGAUUUAAAGUCAGAAGAUACCUUAGUGAAAAGAGGUUCUUACCUCAAGUGUUAGAAGGAUACUUGACAAAUGAGGAAACUGAGGUUCAGAAGAAAUAAAUGACUCAUUUAAGGUCAUUCAUUUCUGACCCCGAUGCUCUGAAUUCAAACCAAGUCAAAGAAUUUUGUACAUAAAAUUAACUAGAAAAGCAAGCUAUUCUCCUAAAGAUUGUCUGAGUUGAUCUGUGUCUCUUUUCUUUUUCUCUCUACAAUCAGCAGCAGAAGUCCCAUCCAUGCUGCUUAUGUUUUAGCAGAAAGGAUUGCAAACAAUUUAGGGUCAAAGCUUCCUGCUAUUAAAUCCCAACCCUGAAGAGGAAAGAUAAUUAAUGAUGCAAUUUUCUGGCGAUUGCAUCCACUGAAGUGGAUAUAAAUGCCAGGCCCUUGCAUCAGCUUCCCAGUGACUCCUGCCAUCACUAUGAAGUCCAGCACUCUCUUCUUCCUUGUAGUACUACUCAUCCUUGUGUCUUCUUCUAGGACAGAAAAUUCAGAAAAGCAAGGAACAUGCCCUGUUAUGACAAGAUGGUGUUUAUUGACGGGUUUUAAAAGCAUCUGUCAAAAUGAUGGAGAAUGCCCUGGUAACGAGAAAUGCUGUACGAGCUUUUGUGAGAAGAAAUGCAUGACUCCACUGAGUGGGGUAUUCCACUUCCUGGGCUGAGGCUGUAGCAACCAUCUAUUUGGAUUUCAGGACAGCAAUGGUCUUCCCAUCUAAUAUGCCCAGGCCUUUGGUUGAGAUGCUGAAAUAUCUGUGGUAGAGACCUUCCCAUAGAUCAGACCUGUCAAUAACUCUUGAGGCUGGAGGGUCAAGUCAUCUUUAUAUAACUUAUCCUGUAGCAGAUAUCCAAAAAAUAUUUGUCAUGUAACCCAUUUCAAAAAUUUUAAUGAAACAUUAAACACUGACAUAUAUAGAAGCAAAUUCAGUAUAUUGGAC